rnacentral:rRNA from 1 species
UACAGGGGGUGCUAGCGUUGUUCGGAAUUACUGGGCGUAAAGGGCGCGUAGGUGGCCCUGUAAGUCAGGAGUGAAAUCCCGGAGCUUAACUCCGGAAUUGCUUUUGAAACUACAGGACUAGAGUAUGUUAGAGGAUGGCGGAAUUCCUAGUGUAGAAGUGAAAUUCGUAGAUAUUAGGAAGAACACCGGUGGCGAAGGCGGCCAUCUGGGACAUAACUGACACUGAGGCGCGAAAGCGUGGGGAUCAAACAGG